GGAGGACGUUAGGUCGUGGGAGCACAGGCGUUCCUCGAAGCCGUGGGUCUGCCUGCAUCGCUAGCCUGACUUCACCGCCACCCAAGGUAUAACCGCACAUUCUAUUUGUGUCGUCGUUUACGUAACCGAGUUAGGCGUCUCCCGUUCGAAAGAGAUACGGUUGGAAACGACCGUAUCUAUUUCGAAUUGUCCACGUUAUUUGGACAGCCCGAGGAUGCGUAGAUGGGGUUAGUUUCCAGGUCCACUCCGAUCUGAGAUAGAGUUUCAGCAUCACCUCCCUGUUGUUCUCCGGGUACACAACCUCCCCGUCGAGACGUGUAUUUGGAGAACAGCGGGGAGGUGCUGCCGAAAUUUCGUCUCAGAUCGGAGUUGACAUGGAAACUAACUCCAUCUACGCAUCCUCGGGUGGGAUUAGGACCUAUCCUCACCUAUUAGUUAAUAGGGCUAUCGUGUAGAUGCAUUCUGUUCUUACAUUACUGCAUGAUAUGUUAGAGGAUGGAUGACCAUCAGUGGAUGUACACUGGCCGGCCAAGUCAGAGAGACAUCUCCUUGGAAUGGAUUGAGAAGAUCGAGGCUUUCUUAGAGCAAGCAUUCGCCAGGGCUAAAGGCGCCCGUAUGACCUGGUGUCCAUGCGUGAAGUGUGCAAACACGCGGAAGCGUACGAAGGAGGUCAUGGGGCAGCAUCUUUGCAAGUUUGGGUUUAUGCAGGGCUAUACCCGAUGGACCUACCACGGUGAAGGUGAUCGCACGAGGGAGGAGGUUGUGAGACCACGUGUCGAUGGUUUUGAUGAUCUUGGGCUAGUCGAAAUUCGACAGGAUUCCGUCUUACCAGGAGAUGAUGUAUACAUUGUGGCCCAAAAGGCCACACAAGUUUAUUAUACGUCGUACCCGUGCAAAACUGAUGCACGUCUUAAGGGUUGGGAUGUUGUGCACAAGGUAUCGCCGCACGGUGGAGUACCGGUACCAAACAAGGAAGAUUACAACCUUGACACGGACACAUAUGAAGGGGAGUUCUAUCAAGAAGAGGGUCUAGAAGGGACUUUUGUGAUAGACUUAACUGAAGCCAUGGAUGUGGCCAUUAUUGUUGAAGAUGACGAUGACGUUGAGGUUGAAGAUGUGAGGGACUUACAAUUACUUGAGCAGUUAUGCUUAGACAAUGACAAUAACGAUAUCGAUGCUCCUCCAGUUAGUGAUGAGUACCUAGACAUGGCUGGUACAGAUGAUGAGAUGGAGGAUGCACCGAAUGCCGGUUAUGAAGAUGAUGAUUAUUUCUAAUACAUGUAAUAUUAUGUUAUCAUUAAUUUGCAUCUCUAUCUAAGUACAUGAUGUUUAAUUGUGGUUACUGAUUUACUCUUCUUACAUGCAGGUCACUGAACAAAGAUGGUGGGCGGCAUGAGGAACGUGAGGUCACGGUACGCCCGACCGAGGGAGGAGCCUCAGGAGCAGCCUGAGGGGUCGGGGAGCAGGUCGAGGAGCCGGUCGAGGCGGACCUCGAGCAGGAGGACCAGGAGCGUUAGCAGUCUUCAGGGAGAGACACCCAUGGUGCAGCAGCAGGAGACGCCCACCUGGGAGUAGGAGGAGCAGGAG
rnacentral:lncRNA from 1 species